UGCGUAGGCGGUGUGGCAAGUCAAGUGUGAAAUCUCGGAGCUUAACUUUGAAACUGCACUUGAUACUGCCGUGCUGGAGGGUUGUAGAGGAGAUCGGAAUUCACGGUGUAGCAGUGAAAUGCGUAGAUAUCGUGAGGAAGACCAGUUGCGAAGGCGGGUCUCUGGGCAAUUCCUGACGCUGAGGCACAAGGGCUAGGGAGCAAACG
rnacentral:rRNA from 1 species